GAACGAGAAAGUGGAGCAAUCCAUGAGUAAAGUGGCGCACGGGUGAGUAACACGUGACUAACCUACCUUUUAGUGGGGGAUAAACUAGGGAAACCUGGGCUAAUACCGCAUAAUACCUACGGGUCAAAGCAGCAAUGCGCUGAAAGAGGGGGUCGCGGUCGAUUAGUUAGUUGGCAGGGUAAUGGCCUACCAAGACUGUGAUCGAUAUCCGGCCUGAGAGGGCGCACGGACACACUGGAACUGAAACACGGUCCAGACUCCUACGGGAGGCAGCAGUGGGGAAUUUUGCGCAAUGGGGGAAACCCUGACGCAGCAACGCCGCGUGGAGGAUGAAGUCCCUUGGGACGUAAACUCCUUUCGAUCGGGACGAUAAUGACGGUACCGGAAGAAGAAGCCCCGGCUAACUUCGUGC
rnacentral:rRNA from 1 species